UAAAAAUGGAUAAACUACAUUAAACAUAUGUAAAAUUAUCAUUUUUCACUUAAAAAAAAGACGGCAUAUCUCCAUAAUGUAACAUUACCAUUUUAUAAAAAAAACAAAAAACAUUAUAUAUAAUUUUGAAAAUAAUAAAUAUACGUAAACAUACAACAUAAAAAAUAGAAAUACUACGUUAAACAUAUGUAAGAUUACCAUUUGAGAAAAUGACACAAAGAACACCAAACAAAGUUUUCCUCCCCAAACUAGCACUCAGGAUCAGAAAUCACAAAAAUAGGUUUCACUAAAGGGGUAAUUUACCC
rnacentral:lncRNA from 1 species